rnacentral:lncRNA from 1 species
AUCCCAGCCACGCCUGCGAGCCUGCGCACUGGAGCCUCACCCUGCGCCACCGCCCUCUGCUGGCCUGGCUGGAGCCUGCAGUACCUCCCCUGCUGGCCUUUCAAGGCCAUACAGCGCUCCCUGCGGACCCAGCUGACGCCUCCCUGCGGGUCGCUGGUCCACCACCCCGCUGUACAUACCCCUUUCCUAAACUGAGCCCUGACGCCAGCAACUCUCUGAGCCAUGCCCGCAUCUUGAACCAUGGACUUUGUUCCCUAGGGAUGGCCUCUUGGUUCAUCCGUACCUCUGACUGUCCCCCUCUACUGAGUCGCAGAGCGGCCAGAGUAGGAGUGGAUUUGCAGUGUCAGAGCAGGACAGACAGAGUAUUUAGGAACGUUGGACAGGAUAGACUACUGCAGAAGUCACUAACCCGUACCGGAGUGCGAGGUCAGUUGGCUACAGGUCGGUUGAGAGUUUCUGUUCGGAUCGUCGGUGCAGGGGCAAUUCAGGAUGUAAACAUUGCCUCAAUCCACGAAGCUGGAAUCUUUUUAUCUUGAAUCUUUAGGAUCAGGUUGUGGAGUUCAAAAGGAAAAUGCUUUUAAAAGAAUCUACAACCAUAUGGAGUUGCACAGGAGGAACACAGAAAGAUGUCAAAACACAUUACUCCCAUGGCCUUUGAGCCGUCUCUCAGCAGAUUCCCUCGAGGGAACUGACAGCACUUUGAAGGCCAUGGAAACUCCUUCAACCAAUGGAGAACUAAAGAGUGGAAACUGGAACACUGCAUCUGUCCCAGAAGGUGUGUACCAGGGCAGCAGCGAGACCUCACCCUGGGCUGGCUUAUCUUGACAUAGGUGGUUGGUUCUCAAAUCCUUUCACAAGGGGAAGCCCUUGUGAGCGCACUUGUGCACGCACGCACACACACAGACACCAAGCUUUAUUGGACAUAAACCCCAGAACCGAGGAGAGGUCAUGACCACUAUUCAAAAUGAGUCUCAGAACUGACAGGCAUGAUCUUCUUGAAGUUAGUUCUCAACUGGGCCAGACCCUCCAUUCCAUGUUGCCUUCUCGGGGACCCACAGGCUUCUUUCCUGGUUGUAGGGCUCGUGCGUACAUUCUCCGGACCAAGGGCAUCGGAGGCCUCUUCCAUGUGAUCACUGUCAAAAGGAUGUGCAUGCAGAAACCUUGGGUUCUGCCUUGGGUGACUGUCCAACUUUCUCUGUUCACCUAAAACAAUAGGCAGCUUUUACUGGUUGCCCUCACCAUUUGGCCCUAGCCUUUCCCAAAGAGAACAGUUUAAUUGCCUUCUCGAUCCCACCAGACAGCAGGGAUUGUUUUAGCCUCCUAAGAGAGAAAUACUUUGUGAGAGAACUAGUAGGACUCAUGACAUCUGAGGCAAAGACAUGUGUGUUACACAAGUGCAUGUGGAACACACAUUCUAGAGGAAAUGUAAAAAUGCACCAAGAGUUCAAUCAGACGGAGGCAGCGUGAAUCUGCCCCUUCUGGCUGUGUGAUUUUGGGCAAAUUAAACCUUCUAAGUGCCAUUUAUAAAAGAGGAAUAAGAAUAUCUUUCAAAGUUGAUAUGAGGGCUAAAUGAAAUUAUUUAUUAUCUCAUUGUCUAAAAGGACCAAAGAAAAUAAUCUGUUAUAUGGUUUUAAAGAAUGCAUGACUCCAUCCAUAAGGAAAAUCCUCUUUAUACCCUCCCCACUUCCAGGAUGAAAGAGAGAAUAUAUACAACAGAGAUCCUUAAUCUUUAGGGGAUUGUGGACCACUUAGAGAAUUUAAAGAAUGUUAAGAGUUGCUUUUUCAAAAAAAAAAAAAGAGCUGCUUUUUCCAAAAGAAGCAUGCAAGUCAAUAUUCUAACUGUAGAUGCCUUGAAGCUCAUCUGUGGGCUGCUCCAAGGAGCCCAGGCUGAGAGCUCACUUAAGCACUUCCCUGCAGGCCUGCCUUCUAUCAGCAGGGUGGGAUAAGUGACUGUGCGGGCCUAGGCCUAAUGACAUCCCAAGCCACUGUCAUAGCAGAGGGCUAUUCAGUCUACCCAGAUCCUGACACCGUUGCCAUGGACCAAUAUUUCUACCCGCCCCUCAAGUUAGAGGGCAAGUCUGACAAAGUUGCCCAGUUCCUUUGUCUACACAGAAGGAAAAAAAAAACCAGUAUUGAAUGGGUUCCUAAGGUUGCACCAUCUCACUGGAGAGAUAGUCUCCUUUGUGAUUUAUGACUAAAAUGCACUAACACUGCUUGAGUCCUUACUCACCAGGCAGUGUGCUAAACCCUUGACACGCAUUGUCCUCUCUUACAGAAUGAGGUGGCUUUUGCUAUCUCCAUUUGGUAGUCAGCUGAGUCUUAGAUGGUUUAAAAGUUGUUUGCUGCAGGUCACUCCCCUAGUAAGUGAUGGAGGCAGGCUUGGAGCCUGAGCCCCUCCAACCAAAAAGCUCUAUUGUCUCUUCUCUGCUAUCUGCUCCAGUCUCCAGAGGAACAGCAGAUUUCCUGGGACAUUUCAUAAGUACUGACACUUGGGGUCCUUACUUGUUUCCCUGUAGGUCCCAAAAGCAUUGCUUACCCCAUCUUCUCUUAGCUCCCCAGCCAUGAGGAGCCCACUCUGGAAAUAUUUCCCUCCACAUAUAAGCCUGCUCCACACUUGUAUGAAUCCAUCAUUGCAUCAUCCCCAAAGCUGUCAGUGUCCAACUUUCCCAUGGAUGGUAAGCAUGGUCUUCAAAGCCCCCACGUGAUCUCCUCUAUGAACUUGUUGCUUCCUAUUUCAGAUAAGAACCAGUCCUUUUGUCAUAUUUGAAUUUCAAAUAGCCACCCACCUUAUUAGCUUGCCUGCCAUUGUCCUCUAAGAAAUCCAGGUCAGUCAUUUGUGGUGAAAAUGUAGCUAUGACACAAUGGGCUAAAAGUGAACAAGACUGUCUCAGGUACACCCAAAUCUUCAUGAGCUGAUGCCUCAGUAAGUUUCAAGGUGCCUUGAAAAUGUGUUUAUAUGAAAGUUUCUUGAGUAUUUAGCAUUUUUAAAAUAAUGGAACAAUUCUCUGUCUCCCUCUCUCUGCCCCUCCUCUCUUUCUUUCUUUCUUUCUCUCUCUCUCUCACACACACACACUCAAAAGUGAAUAAAUGUUUAAAAAAUUUUUUUUUAAUUUUUUAA